AAAUCAUACCUUAAUUUUAUUUGAGUUUGUUUUAUUAAUAUAACCAUCUAGUUUUCGACGCUAUAAAUUUUAACUUACCCUAUCCCGGCCGUGGAAAUUGUAAUUACUUUUAUAUUAAAGAUAAUUUUAUAUUAAAUUUUGCUUAUAUUCCGUAGGUGCAAAACUUGGUAUAAAUUCUUUUUUUCUACUUGUUUAUUAUUUGGAAUUGUUUUAUAUUUAUUUCAACUGGUACCGGAAUAGUUUAUUAAUCAAAAAAUUAGCUGUUUCGUAGUUUAUAAAAUAAAUAAAAAUAUUACUACGGAUUCGUGCUAAUUGCACGUAUUUCCGAAUAUAAAUAGCAGCGGGGAUUAUAUAACAAUUCACGUUAUAUAUAAAGGAGGGAGGGUUGCCAAAACCUUUUCCGUACCCCUUUUUCUUCCUUUUCCUUUAACGAUAAUAAUAAUUCCUUCUGGGUACCCAACCGUCGUAUAAUUAUUGGCCUAUUUUAUAAUAUUUAUUAUCGUUUAUUAUUUUUUUUCAUAUAAAUAAUGAAUUUGUUAUUUAUAAAGGAAACCGCCGUUUAGGUACCGGACGCCGCGUUUUGAAAACUAUAGCGGAUAAUUGCGGAUUUAUUAAAACAAAUGCACACGUUGCAAAUAAAAACCCCGAUAACACCAAUUAUCGCGGAAAUAUUAUAAAUAACGGCGCCGCCGAAACGUAAACCGUUUCAAAAUUAAUUAUUAUAUAAUAACGUUCCGGUUUUAUUUAUAAUUUGGCAAUACGUUAUAAAAUAUAAAUUUCGGCGCGACGUGGAUUUUUUAAAAUAACCAUUGCAAUUAAUAUAAAUAUUUAUAUACGAAAUUGGACGUUCCCGUCCAAAAAUAGUCCGUUUUUAAUAUAAAACAGGCGGUAAAAACGGCGCGUAUUAUUAUACGGAUUUUUUAAAUUAUUUAAAAUAUAUACAUAAUGAUUUUUAUAAACGGGUAUAAAUUUUGAUCGAAUUUAAAAUAUUAAAAAUUAAAUUAAAUUAACUAUUCGCCCAAUUUAUUACGGUUUUCGAAAAGAAUUCUAAUUACGGCCGGAAAAUUGGUUUGGACGGACGUAAUGCGUAUUAAUUUUUUGCGUUUCCGUAUAUUUUCCAAAAUCCGAAAAAAUAUAUUAGACGGGGUUUUAAAAACGGUAUUUACUUAAAAAAGUGGUUAUUUACCGCCAAAUUACCCAAAAUUUUAAAACGAUUAAAUUAAAUAAAUGUUUUAGUUUUUACCGCGCGGGUACCGCCCCGGUUUUUAUAUUAACGAAAAACGAAAAUAUAUUUAUAAUAAGUAUAACCGCGAUAAAAUCGAAUUUAAUAAGAAACGAAAAAACGCCGUAAACCCGAAUAAUUCCCAUUUUUGAAUUUUAAUAAAAAAAUACGCGUUGACGCGCCUAAUAAAAUUUUGAUAAUAAAAAUUAAAAAAAGCGCGAAAUAAUAACGUAUUUGCGUUGCGCUAAUUUAAAUUACCAAAUAACGGAUCAUAUAUAUAAAUAACGGCGUUACGUUUUUUUAUAACAAUAACCGCAAUUACGACGGAGACCCCCGGGAAAGAAAUAAAUGGCUUUCGAUACAAACUUUAAUCGAAAAUAAAAGCCGCAAAACGCAAUUAAAAUAAAAACGGGUAAAGAAUUGAGAAACAAAUACGGCGAAAUUAAUUCGAUUCGAUAUUUUAUAAACGGGGCAUUAUUUUUUGUUUUUUUUUAUUAAACGAUUUAUAACUAACUAAUAAAUAAAUAAAUUUAAAUUGCAAAUAUUACGCGGCAAUAAAUAAUAAAUAUAUUAUUUGGUUAAAAAUCGAAAAAGUAUAUUU
rnacentral:sRNA from 1 species